rnacentral:rRNA from 1 species
UACGUAGGGUGCGAGCGUUGUCCGGAAUUACUGGGCGUAAAGAGCUCGUAGGUGGUUUGUCGCGUUGUUCGUGAAAACUCACAACUCAAUUGUGGGCGUGCGGGCGAUACGGGCAGACUGGAGUACUGCAGGGGAGACUGGAAUUCCUGGUGUAGCGGUGGAAUGCGCAGAUAUCAGGAGGAACACCGGUGGCGAAGGCGGGUCUCUGGGCAGUAACUGACGCUGAGGAGCGAAAGCCAGGGGAGCGAACGGG